rnacentral:misc_RNA from 1 species
UUUCCGUAGGUGAACCUGCGGAAGGAUCAUUGUCAAAAUCCUUAAAUCGUGUCGGUGGACAUGUGGACUUGUUGGGCCAUAUGCGGGGGGUGCCAAGCUGGUUGCUCCGUCUCGACCACCAAGGUUGAUGGGGAUGUGGUUGAGAGGCCAUGUGUAUAUUGGCCCGACCCUCUAAUCGGGCACGGAACGUGCCAAGGAAACUUGGUUAUGAAAGCUCCCCUGUCCCUCGCAUGAUGGGUGCACGGGAUCGAGGGACGAGACUUUUGAGCAAAAUGAGAUAGAAUGACUCUCGACAAUGGAUAUCUCGGCUCCCUUAUCGAUGAAGAACGCGGCAAAAUGCGAUACAUGGUGUGAAUUGCAGAAUCUCGUGAAUCAUUGAGUUUUUGAACGCAAGUUGCGCCCGAAGCCACUUUCUGGUCGAGGGCACACCUGCCUGGGUGUCAAGCAUGGAGUUGCCCCUGGACGCCCCUCCAUCGGGAGAACCAUUUAUUUCGUUUUAUUCUGGGUGGGGGGGACUACGGGGGCAUGUGUUGGCCUCCCGCUGCUUUUCGGCGGUUGGUUCAAAAUAUGGGGUCCUUUCUGACGUGCGUCAUUGAAGGGCUGAUGGAAACAAUGUUGGUCGUGUGCUGGCAUGUGAACCCUCGCAAUCCCAUGGCUUCAUUGACAGACUUUGAGGGAGUAGCCAUUCGGACCCC